GUAGGUGGCAAGCGUUGUCCGGAAUUAUUGGGCGUAAAGCGCGCGCAGGCGGUUCUUUAAGUCUGAUGUGAAAGCCCACGGCUCAACCGUGGAGGGUCAUUGGAAACUGGAGAACUUGAGUACAGAAGAGGAAAGCGGAAUUCCACGUGUAGCGGUGAAAUGCGUAGAGAUGUGGAGGAACACCAGUGGCGAAGGCGGCUUUCUGGUCUGUAACUGACGCUGAGGCGCGAAAGCGUGGGGAGCAAACAGGAUUAGAUACCCUGGUAGUCCACGCCGUAAACGAUGAGUGCUAAGUGUUAGGGGGUUUCCGCCCCCCUUAGUGCUGCAGCUAACGCAUUAAGCACUCCGUCUGGGAGUACGGCCGCAAGGCUG
rnacentral:rRNA from 1 species